AAACAAUUAAAAAUACAAAUAUAACAUUUUCAUAAUUUUCCAGAGUGGAAACCAAUUCAAUUCAAUUGACAAUUACAUGAAAUGGCAUCUUUCUACUUCCAGAGUUUUAACUUUUAGUAAUUAGCUGUUGUAUUUAUUUUAGUCCCUUCCCUGUAAGAGAGAUGCAAGGCAAAGCCAAAGAUGAGAACCGAGUGGAAGAUUCAAGAGUGCGUCUGGUUCUCUUUUAUUUUGUCUUACUGGUUUUCAUCAUUGCAAGUGAUUCUACUGCAGAGCCACUACAAACAGGGUAGAAACGGGUAGCAUUCGCGAAAAUUAUCAAAUUUAAUAUUAUUAAAAUUUAAAUUGAUCUCAAAUCUGAUUAAAAUUUAUUCUAAUUAUCCAAACUCAUUUAAUUUUAUAUAUUUUAAUU
rnacentral:misc_RNA from 1 species